rnacentral:rRNA from 1 species
CACGUAGGGUGCGAGCGUUGUCCGGAAUUAUUGGGCGUAAAGAGCGUGUAGGCGGCCAUACAGGUCAGCUGUGAAAACUCGAGGCUCAACCUCGAGACGUCGGUUGAAACCGUAUGGCUAGAGUCCGGAAGAGGAGAGUGGAAUUCCCGGUGUAGCGGUGAAAUGCGCAGAUAUCGGGAAGAACACCCGUGGCGAAGGCGGCUCUCUGGGACGGUACUGACGCUGAGACGCGAAAGCGUGGGGAGCGAACAGG